GAUGAACGCUGGCGGCGUGCUUAACACAUGCAAGUCGAACGGAAAGGCCAAGCUUUUGUCGGGUGUUCGAGUGGCGAACGGGUGGGUAACACGUGAGUAAUCUGCCCUUUACUUUGGGAUAACUUCAGGUAACUGGGGCUAAUACAGGAUAGGAACUCCUGCUGCAUGGAGGGGGGUGGAAAGAUUCGGCGGUUGGAGAUGGAAUCGCGGCUUAUCUUAUUGUUGGUGGGGUAGUGCCUCACCAAGGCUUAGACGGAUAGCCGGCCUGGGAGGGGGGCCGACCACAAUAGGACUGAGAUACGGCGCAGACAACAACAGGAGGAAGCAGUGGGAAAUAUGGCACAAUGAGCGGAAGCCUGAUGCAGCAACGCCGCGUGCGGGAUGACGGACUUCGGGUUGUAAACCGCUUUCGCCUAUGACGAAGCGUGAGUGACGGUAAUCGGUAAAGAAGCACCGGCUAACUACGUG
rnacentral:rRNA from 1 species